rnacentral:rRNA from 1 species
CGAUACCAUCACGUUGAAACACCGUUCCAGUAUGAUCACCGAAGUUAAGCAACGUCAAGCCUUGUCAGUACUUAGAUGGCUGACCGCUUGGGAAUACCAGGUGCUGUAAG